rnacentral:rRNA from 2 species
AUCCUGGCUCAGGAUGAACGCUGGCGGCGUGCCUAAUACAUGCAAGUCGAGCGAACUGAUUAGAAGCUUGCUUCUAUGACGUUAGCGGCGGACGGGUGAGUAACACGUGGGCAACCUGCCUGUAAGACUGGGAUAACUUCGGGAAACCGAAGCUAAUACCGGAUAGGAUCUUCUCCUUCAUGGGAGAUGAUUGAAAGAUGGUUUCGGCUAUCACUUACAGAUGGGCCCGCGGUGCAUUAGCUAGUUGGUGAGGUAACGGCUCACCAAGGCAACGAUGCAUAGCCGACCUGAGAGGGUGAUCGGCCACACUGGGACUGAGACACGGCCCAGACUCCUACGGGAGGCAGCAGUAGGGAAUCUUCCGCAAUGGACGAAAGUCUGACGGAGCAACGCCGCGUGAGUGAUGAAGGCUUUCGGGUCGUAAAACUCUGUUGUUAGGGAAGAACAAGUACGAGAGUAACUGCUC